AUAUUUUUGUAUAUCACUCUCUUGUCUUGUCCUCCAUGGUGACUAAACAUGUCUGUUAAUUAAUUGCUCUGCUGUGUAUUUGCUUUUGUUUAGUCCGCAUGUACAGAAUAAAGUAUAGAGAAGUUAGAAUAUAAACACCUUUUAUUAACCCAAACCCAAUAGUUAUCAAUAGAGGCGAAGUCAAUUAAAAAUGUAUUAUUAGUAAUAACUCAUAACUUACUAUUUUUAAUCUCGCUCAAAUUUAAAUGAUCACAUGACAAACGCCAGCCUUCGAAUAUGAAAUGAAUCAUCAAUAUCUUUAUUCUGUUUGUCGAAAAACAACAAAUAAAAAAUACAGUCAAAUUCAAUAUCUCCUCGUUUAUUUUUCCAUUGACUAAAUUAAAAGAACUAGUGGUCGUCGAGUGGUCGAAAUUCGGCCAUUAAAAAAAAAAUUAAAUU